rnacentral:tRNA from 1 species
GCAGUGAUGGUUCAGUGGGAGAAUUCUUGCCUUUCAUGUGAGAGACCUGGGUUCGAUUCCUGGUGAAUGCA